UGGAACAUUCAAGAAAGGAUUUAGGCUAGUUAUUUAGAUAAUAUCUACCAUUAAAAACAUUCUAGAAAGUUUUAAGGUAGUUGAACAAAGUAUAAAUAGGAUUCACCAAGGCCACUUGGAUAUUUGAUCAAGUAUGGUUUUGGUUUCUUUCUCUUAAUAAAGUUUAAUUUUUUACUUUUGUAUUCAAUUUUAUUCUAUUUUCUUUUA
rnacentral:lncRNA from 1 species